rnacentral:rRNA from 1 species
UACAGAGACUGCAAGCGUUAUUCGGAUUCACUGGGCGUAAAGGGUGCGCAGGCGGCCGGGUGUGUCAGAUGUGAAAUCCCGAGGCUCAACCUCGGAACUGCGUCUGAAACUACUCGGCUAGAGUAUUGGAGAGGGUAACGGAAUUCACGGUGUAGCAGUGAAAUGCGUAGAUAUCGUAAGGAAGACCAGUGGCGAAGGCGGGUCUCUGGACAGUUCCUGACGCUGAGGCACGAAGGCCAGGGGAGCAAACGGG